UAUAGGAACACACAGUCUUCUAAACAAGGGACACUAAAGGUAUAGGAACACACAGCUUCUAACCCCCCCCCCAGGGACCACUAACGUUAGGAACACCCAGUCUUUUAACCAGGGCCCACUAAAGGUAUAGGAACACAGUUUCUAACCAGGGACCACUAAAGGUAUAGGAACACACAGUCUUCUAACCAGGGACCACUAAACGGUAUAGGAACACAGUCUUCUAACCAGGGACCACUAGAGGUAUAGGAACACACAGUCUUCUAACCAGGGACCCUAGAGGUAGAGGAACACAGUCUUCUAACCAGAACACUAGAGGUAUAGGAACACAGUCUUCUAACCAGGGACCAUAGAGGAUAGAACACAGUCUUCUACCAGGCCACUAGAGGUAUAGGAACAACAGUCUUUAACCAGGGCCC
rnacentral:lncRNA from 1 species